rnacentral:lncRNA from 1 species
GUGAUGUCUAAUUUGGGGCCCCUGAACCUAUUCAUCCUAGGUGACCAAUGUUUGGGGUGGGCUUGAUGCCAAGUCUCUUUACCAAGCCAAUCAAGUAGAAGAAUAUGUUUUUGAAAUACUUCCUAUAUUAUGUCACAUGCAAUUCAUCACAUAUGACCAACAGCAAUUGUGUUUGCCUUCUUACUACAGAACGAUUGUGUAUGUGCCUAAUUAGAAAAAAGCCUAGUGUGUUCAUCGCUGCUUUCUCCAAGGGAAAACUGGCUUUUCUUCUAUUCAACAGAUGGAGGGAAACGACCUAAUAGAAGAACAAUGGAAGCAAAGUCACUAUGGCACAUUCCUCCCACCCUUCUGCAAUUGAAGCUGUCUUUGCAGCCAAGUGGUAUAUCACUCAACAGCCACUACGCGAAUGUUCGGUGCCAAGCCAAACAGACAAAGAAGCCAAGGAAUGGUCUGAAGGCACAUGAAGCCAACACCUUGCGGAAGCUGUAAGAUCUGUGUCUAGCCAGUGCUGGAUGGGAGGAUCACAUCAGUGUUACCUUGCAUUCCAUGACAAAUGUGAAUAUAAGAGAACGAAAGAUCGCUUUGCAAAACUAAGCGGAAGCAGUGAGGGCUGGGUAAUGGAGUACAACAGUGGCACUUUAUCCUUCCUAUCCCAGACAGUGUAUGCAAUUUAUUCAUUUAUAGUAUUUUUAUUCUGAUAUUCUUCUGAAGAACUCAAGGUUCUUCUUCCCUCCGUUUCAUUCUCAAAAUAACUCUGUGAUGUAUCUGAUG